rnacentral:rRNA from 1 species
CCUACGGUGGGCAGCAGUGAGGAAUAUUGGUCAAUGGGCGCGAGCCUGAACCAGCCAAGUAGCGUGAAGGAUGACUGCCCUACGGGUUGUAAACUUCUUUUAUAAAGGAAUAAAGUGAGGCACGUGUGCCUUUUUGUAUGUACUUUAUGAAUAAGGAUCUGCUAACUCCUUGCCAGCAGCCGCGGUAAUACGGAGGUACCGAGCGUUAUCUGGAUUUAUUGGGUUUAAAGGGAGCGUAGAUGGGUUGUUAAGUCAGUUGGGAAAGUUUGCGGCUCAACCGUAAAAUUGCAAUUGUUACUUGCAGCCUUGAGUACAGUUGAGGUAGGCGGAAUUCGUGGUGUAGCGGUGAAAUGCUUAGAUAUCACGAAGAACUCCGAUUGCGAAGGCAGCUUACUAAACUGCCACUGACAUUGAUGCUCGAAAGUGUGGGUAUCAAACAGGAUUAGAUACCCUUGUAGUC